rnacentral:rRNA from 1 species
GUAGCGUGAAGGAUGACUGCCUAUGGGUUGUAAACUUCUUUUAUAAGGGAAUAAGUGCGGGACGUGUCCCGUUUUGUAUGUACCUUAUGAAUAAGGAUCGGCUAACUCCGUGCCAGCAGCCGCGGUAAUACGGAGGAUCCGAGCGUUAUCCGGAUUUAUUGGGUUUAAAGGGUGCGUAGGCGGCCUUUUAAGUCAGCGGUGAAAGUCUGUGACUCAACCAUAGAAUUGCCGUUGAAACUGGGGGGCUUGAGUAUGUUUGAGGCAGGCGGAAUGCGUGGUGUAGCGGUGAAAUG